GGCCGCGGGGUCUUGCCUGUGAAAAGGUAGCAUAAUCACUUGUCUCUUAAAUGGGGACCCGUAUGAAUGGCUCUUCAUCCUCUACCUGUCUCCCUUUUCCCCGCUCAAACUUCUAUUUACGUGAAGAAGCGUAAUUCAGAAAGAAAGACGAGAAGACCCUGUCGAGCUUCAGCCCCUGUAAACCUACUCCUCCUAGGAAGCCCUUUUGCAGAAGCUUUGGUUGGGGCAACCAUAGAGAAAAGACAUCCUCCAGUUCUAGGAAGAAAACUCCUCCCCUUUUUCCACCUAGAGAACCAAGUUGGGAAACGGAAAAAGUUACCGCAGGGAUAACAGCGUUAUCUUUUCUGAGAGCCCUUAUUGACGAAAAGGAUUGCGACCUCGAUGUUGGAUUGGGGUAACCAAAGGGUGCAGCAGCUCUUUUAGGUUGGACUGUUCGUCCAUUAAUUCCCUACGUGAUCUGAGUUC
rnacentral:rRNA from 1 species